CAGCCAUAUUAAAUUGAAACACUGGUUCUUAUACAAUUACCAAAGUUAAGCAAUGUCAAGCCUGGUCAGUACCUAGAUGGGUGACAGCUUGCGAAUCCCAGGUGCUGUAAG